rnacentral:rRNA from 1 species
GCGCGCCUAAUACAUGCAAGUCGAGCGAGAAGACGUGGCAAUACGUUUGUAAAGCGGCGAACGGGUGAGGAAUACAUGGGUAACCUACCCUCGAGUGGGGAAUAACUAGCCGAAAGGUUAGCUAAUACCGCAUACGACUCCUGGUCUGCGGAUCGGGAGGGAAAGCGAUACCGCGGGUAUCGCGCUCUUGGAUGGGCUCAUGUCCUAUCAGCUUGUUGGUGAGGUAAUGGCUCACCAAGGCUUCGACGGGUAGCUGGUCUGAGAGGACGAUCAGCCACACUGGCACUGCGACACGGGCCAGACUCCUACGGGAGGCAGCAGUAAGGAAUAUUGCGCAAUGGGCGACAGCCUGACGCAGCGACGCCGCGUGGGGGAUGAAGGCCUUCGGAUUGUAAACCCCUUUCGGCAGGGAAGAUGGAACGGGUAACCGUUCGGACGGUACCUGCAGAAGCAGCCACGGCUAACUUCGUGCCAGCAGCCGCGGUAAUACGAAGGUGGCAAGCGUUGUUCGGAUUUACUGGGCGUACAGGGAGCGUAGGCGGUUGGGUAAGCCCUCCGUGAAAUCUCCGGGCCUAACCCGGAAAGUGCGGAGGGGACUGCUCGGCUAGAGGAUGGGAGAGGAGCGCGGAAUUCCCGGUGUAGCGGUGAAAUGCGUAGAGAUCGGGAGGAAGGCCGGUGGCGAAGGCGGCGCUCUGGAAC